rnacentral:rRNA from 1 species
GACGAACGCUGGCGGCGCGCCUAACACAUGCAAGUCGAACGGGGUGCGUUCGGAUGAAGUUUUCGGAUGGAUUUUGGAUGUACCUAGUGGCGAACGGGUGAGUAACACGUGAAUAACCUGCCCUGGAGUGGGGGACAACAGUUGGAAACGACUGCUAAUACCGCAUAAGCCCACAGAGCCGCAUGGCUCAGGGGGAAAAGGAGCAAUUCGCUUCAGGAUGGAUUCGCGUCCAAUUAGCUAGAUGGUGAGGUACCGGCCCACCAUGGCAACGAUUGGUAGGCGGAGUGAGAGGUUGAUCGGCCACAUUGGGACUGGGACACGGCCCAGACUCCUAGGGGAGGCAGCAGUGGGGAAUAUUGCACAAUGGGGGAAACCCUGAUGCAGCGACGCCGCGUGGAGGAAGAAGGUCUUCGGAUUGUAAACUCCUGUCGUUGGGGACGAUAAUGACGGUACCCAACAAGAAAGCCACGGCUAACUACGUGCCAGCCGCCGCCGUAACAC